UACGUAGGUCCCGAGCGUUGUCCGGAUUUAUUGGGCGUAAAGCGAGCGCAGGUGGUUUAUUAAGUCUGGUGUAAAAGGCAGUGGCUCAACCAUUGUAUGCAUUGGAAACUGGUAGACUUGAGUGCAGGAGAGGAGAGUGGAAUUCCAUGUGUAGCGGUGAAAUGCGUAGAUAUAUGGAAGAACACCAGUGGCGAAAGCGGCCCUCUGGUCUGUAACUGACGCUGAGGUUCGAAAGCGUGGGUAGCAAACAGG
rnacentral:rRNA from 1 species